UACGUAGGGGGCAAGCGUUGUCCGGAUUUAUUGGGCGUAAAGAGCGUGUAGGCGGUUUGGUAGGUCCGCUGUGAAAACUCGAGCUCAACCUCGAGACGCCGGUGGAAACCAUCAGACUAGAGUCCGGAAGAGGAGAGUGGAAUUCCUGGAUGUAGCGGUGAAAUGCGCAGAUAUCAGGAGGAACACCAAUUGCGAAGGCAGCUCGCUGGGACGUUACUGACGCUGAGACGCGAAAGCGUGGGGAGCAAACAGG
rnacentral:rRNA from 1 species